AUUGAACGCUAGCGGGAUGCUUUACACAUGCAAGUCGAACGAGUGGCGGACGGGUGAGUAAUAUAUCGGAACGUGCCCAGUAGCGGGGGAUAACUACUGGAAACGGUAGCUAAUACCGCAUACCAUCAGAUGAACCCAUAUGGGAUUAGCUAGUAGGUGGGGUAAAGGCUCACCUAGGCGACGAUCCCUAGCUGGUCUGAGAGGAUGACCAGCCACACUGGAACUGAGACACGGUCCAGACUCCUACGGGAGGCAGCAGUGGGGAAUAUUGCACAAUGGGCGCAAGCCUGAUGCAGCCAUGCCGCGUGUAUGAAGAAGGCCUUCGGGUUGUAAAGUACUUUCAGCGGGGAGGCGUUACCCGCAGAAGAAGCACCGGCUAACUCCGUGCCAGCAGCCGCGGUAAUAC
rnacentral:rRNA from 1 species